rnacentral:rRNA from 1 species
GACGAACGCUGGCGGCGUGCUUAACACAUGCAAGUCGAACGGAAAGGCCCUGCUUUUGUGGGGUGCUCGAGUGGCGAACGGGUGAGUAACACGUGAGUAACCUGCCCUUGACUUUGGGAUAACUUCAGGAAACUGGGGCUAAUACCGUAUAGGAGCUCCUGCUGCAUGGUGGGGGUUGGAAAUUUUCUGCGGUUGGGGAUGGACUAGCGGCUUACGAGCUUGUUGGUGGGGUAGUGGCUUACCAAGGCUUUGACGGGUAGCCGGCCUGAGAGGGUGACCGGCCACAUUGGGACUGAGAUACGGCCCAGACUCCUACGGGAGGCAGCAGUGGGGAAUAUUGCACAAUGAGCGGAAGCCUGAUGCAGCAACGCCGCGUGCGGGAUGACGGCCUUCGGGUUGUAAACCGCUUUCGCCUGUGACGAAGCGUGAGUGACGGUAAUGGGUAAAGAAGCACCGGCUAACUACGUG